GAUCUGCAAGGAUCAGCCUCAAGGAUUAAUCUCCUCAUUUGAAAAGAGGUCUCUAGGAAGAUUAAGUGACUCUCCUAUGAUCCGAGCAUGGCUGCGCUGCAGCAGGCUACAGAGCUGUCUGCCUCUGGAAGGACGCUGGGCCCUAGCCUGUGCCUCCUUGAACCACAGCAAAGACAGAGCCAUCAGUUCCACCCUGCUGGAGACCACCAGAAGAUGCGAUGUGGUAAGCUGCCUGGAGCUCCAGCCACCAUGACUGCCCUCUUCUUCCUUGAGCUGUUUCUGUUAUAGCAACAAAGGAUCUGAUGCUCUCUUCUGGUUUCGGUGAGCACCAGACACACAAAUGGGUUAUGUACACAAUAAGGAUUACAAGGGAGAGAAGACUGUGACCUGUCAAGCUGCCUGGGUAGUUAGUAUGCAGGGAGCUCCAGCAAUGCAGCUUUCAUGAGUUGUCACUCAUGCUGAGGUGGGCUUUUCA